rnacentral:lncRNA from 1 species
CCUUUCAUUGGUGAUACCUUCAAAAAUACCCAAUCACCUAUAGAAAACUCUAGCCCUCUCCUUCUACUAUCCGCAUAUGACUUGUGUCGACUUUGGGCUGUUUUCAGUCGUUGCUGAAUUACUUUAACCUUCUCUAUGGCUUGAUAAACAAGAUCCGGUCCGAACAAAAGAGUUUCACCCACUUCGAACCAUCCUAUUGGUGAUCUACACUUCCUUCCAUAUAAAGCUUCAUAUGGUGCCAUUUUGAUACUUGAAUGAUAGCUAUUACUGUAGGCAAACUCAAUAAGAG